rnacentral:rRNA from 1 species
GAUGACCCUAGCGGCAGCCCUACACAUGCAAGUCGAGGGGGAGGUUACUUUCGGGUAACUGAGACGGCGUACGGGUGCGUAACGCGUAUACAAUCUGCCUUUCACUGGGGGAUAGCCCGAAGAAAUUUGGAUUAAUACCCCAUAGUAUAGUAGUGUGGCAUCACACAACUAUUAAAGCUUAGGUGGUGAAAGAUGAGUAUGCGUUCUAUUAGCUAGUUGGAGAGGUAACGGCUCCCCAAGGCGAUGAUAGAUAGGGGUUCUGAGAGGGAUGUCCCCCACACUGGUACUGAGAUACGGACCAGACUCCUACGGGAGGCAGCAGUGAGGAAUAUUGGACAAUGGUCGGAAGACUGAUCCAGCCAUGCCGCGUGCAGGAUGACGGCCUUAUGGGUUGUAAACUGCUUUUGUAAGGGAAGAAUAAGGGCUACGCGUAGUUUGAUGACGGUACCUUACGAAUAAGCAUCGGCUAACUCCGUGCCAGCAGCCGCGGUAAUACGGAGGAUGCGAGCGUUAUCCGGAAUCAUUGGGUUUAAAGGGUCUGUAGGCGGGCUUGUAAGUCAGAGGUGAAAGCGCUCAGCUCAACUGAGCAACUGCCUUUGAAACUGUUGGUCUUGAAUGGUUGUGAAGUAGUUGGAAUGUGUAGUGUAGCGGUGAAAUGCUUAGAUAUUACACAGAACACCGAUAGCGAAGGCAUAUUACUAACAAUUAAUUGACGCUGAUGGACGAAAGCGUGGGGAGCGAACAGG